rnacentral:tRNA from 1 species
AUUUAAAUAAUUUAAUUAAAAUAUUGAUUUGUGGUGUCAAAAAUGUAAAUUUUAUUACUUUAAAUU